UCAGUGGCAGGACAACCUGAUCAAAACUUAUGGCUGACACCCUAAAGAUAGCUUCACAUGGUAGCAAAAAUGAGCAAAACAGACUUGAGUUCUAAUUCCUCCUCCACUUUGGCCCAGUUGUUUCCACUUUCUGAGCCACUUAACUCAACUGUAAAUGUAGAAUGGCAAUCCAAACUUUAUUCUUGUGGAGUUUGAAUGAGCAUAUCUCAUUUUGGACUAGCCAUCUUUCAAGAGCUCAACAGCCACGUGCUAUUAAUGGCUACCACAUUAAAGGCUCCAAGUCUAGAUGGAAAAUAAACAAGUAAACCUAUAAACACAGUUAAUAGAUGUUUUUCAGCUGCAAUCUGUACUGUGACUGGAAUGAGAAAGCCUUAAUUCAUACCAUCUUCCGAUGAUACAAGACAAGCAAGUUUGUAAUUUAAUAAACGCAGUCAAACCUGA
rnacentral:lncRNA from 1 species